rnacentral:rRNA from 1 species
ACGCACGCUGGCGGCAUGCCUCACCCCUGCCAGUCGAACGCGACCUUCGGGUCUAGUGGCGCACGGGUGCGUAACGCGUGGGAACCUGCCCUUAGGUUCGGAAUAACUCCCCGAAAGGGGUGCUAAUACCGGAUAAUGUCUUCGGACCAAAGAUUUAUCGCCUUUGGAUGGGCCCGCGUUGGAUUAGCUAGUUGGUAGGGUAAAAGCCUACCAAGGCGACGAUCCAUAGCUGGUCUGAGAGGAUGAUCAGCCACACUGGGACUGAGACACGGCCCAGACUCCUACGGGAGGCAGCAGUGGGGAAUAUUGGACAAUGGGCGAAAGCCUGAUCCAGCAAUGCCGCGUGAGUGAUGAAGGCCUUAGGGUUGUAAAGCUCUUUUACCCGGGAUGAUAAUGACAGUACCGGGAGAAUAAGCUCCGGCUAACUCCGUG